rnacentral:rRNA from 1 species
GGGGAAUCUUGCGCAAUGGACGAAAGUCUGACGCAGCGACGCCGCGUGGGUGAAGAAGGCCUUCGGGUUGUAAAGCCCUGUCGAGUGGGACAAAUAUCCCAGGCAAUAAUACGGCCUGGGCUUGAUGGUACCACUAAAGGAAGCACCGGCUAACUCUGUGCCAGCAGCCGCGGUAAUACAGAGGGUGCAAGCGUUGUUCGGAAUUAUUGGGCGUAAAGGGCAGGUAGGUGGUCUUAAAAGUCUACUGUGAAAUCCCUGGGCUUAACCCAGGAAGUGCGGUGGAUACUCUAAGACUUGAGUGCCGGAGGGGUGCGUGGAAUUCCGAGUGUAGCGGUGAAAUGCGUAGAUAUUCGGAGGAACACCAGAGGCGAAAGCGGCGCACUGGACGGCAACUGACACUCAACUGCGAAAGCGUGGGGAGCAAAC